UACGUAGGUGACCAGCGUUGUCCGGAUUUACUGGGCGUAAAGAGCGCGCAGGCGGUCGUUUAAGUCGAGUGUGAAAGCCCCCGGCUCAACUGGGGAGGGUCAUUCGAUACUGAUCGACUUGAAGGCAGGAGAGGGAAGCGGAAUUCCCGGUGUAGUGGUGAAAUGCGUAGAUAUCGGGAGGAACACCAGUGGCGAAGGCGGCUUCCUGGCCUGUUCUUGACGCUGAGGCGCGAAAGCUAGGGGAGCAAACGGG
rnacentral:rRNA from 1 species